GACGAACGCUGGCGGCGCGCCUAACACAUGCAAGUCGAGCGAUGAAAGUUGUUCAGAUCCUUCGGGUGACGAACUUCCGGAUUAGCGGCGAACGGGUGAGUAACGCGUGAGGAACCUGCCUCUCACAACGGGAUAGCCUCGGGAAACCGGGAUUAAUACCGUAUGACACUAUCAGAUGGCAUCAUCAGGUAGUUAAAGUGCUAGCGGUGAGAGAUGGCCUCGCGUCUGAUUAGUUAGUUGGUGGGGUAACGGCCUACCAAGACGACGAUCAGUAACCGGCCUGGGAGGGUGAACGGUCACAUUGGAACUGAGACACGGUCCAAACUCCUACGGGAGGCAGCAGUGGGGAAUCUUGCACAAUGGGGGAAACCCUGAUGCAGCGACGCCGCGUGAGCGAUGAAGGUUUUCGAAUCGUAAAGCUCUGUCCUAUGGGAAGAUAAUGACGGUACCAUAGGAGGAAGCCCCGGCUAACUACGUG
rnacentral:rRNA from 1 species